rnacentral:rRNA from 1 species
AUUGAACGCUGGCGGCAUGCUUUACACAUGCAAGUCGAACGGUAACAGGGAGCUUGCUCCGCUGACGAGUGGCGAACGGGUGAGUAAUGCGUCGGAACGUGCCGAGUAGUGGGGGAUAACGCAGCGAAAGUUGUGCUAAUACCGCAUACGUACUGAGGUAGAAAGUGGGGGACCUUCGGGCCUCACGCUAUUCGAGCGGCCGACGUCUGAUUAGCUAGUAGGUGAGGUAAAGGCACACCUAGGCGACGAUCAGUAGCGGGUCUGAGAGGAUGGUCCGCCACACUGGGACUGAGACACGGCCCAGACUCCUACGGGAGGAAGCAGUGGGGAAUUUUGGACAAUGGGCGAAAGCCUGAUCCAGCCAUGCCGCGUGUCUGAAGAAGGCCUUCGGGUUGUAAAGGACUUUUGUCGGGGAGGAAAUCCCCAGCGUUAAUACCGCUGGGGGAUGACAGUACCUGAAGAAUAAGCACCGGCUAACUACGUGCCAGCAGCCGCAGUAA